CCGUGCUCUCACAAUGAAGUUACUAAAAAAAAAGAAGGGGGAGAAAUACACCACGUGAUGAAGAAAGACAUCCAGAGGCAAGACUGAGCAAGAAGGCUUUGUCAGGAGUCCAGAAUCCUACCUCCUCUUUGGCUCCACGGUUUGUUUCCAGUCACCGUAGGAUUCGGGGGGGAAAAAAUAAAUUGAGCGAGCAGUUCAGCACUGGGAAGGAACGGCCCUUUGCAUGACAUACCUUGGCAGAGAUGAAAGAUGAACACACCUUCCCAGCCAGGACAAAAACCUGCUUGCUUUCCUUGAAAGAAGACAGAGAGGGAGAUCAUGAAACCCAGUCUCAAAAAGCAACAUGAACCUGGGAAAGCAGAUCGUAGAGGACAUCAAGUUAGUGAACUCUUCUGCAAUCAAAAUCUAUGAAUAGAUCAAUCCACAAUGGUGUAAAAAAAUGCCCUAUCUUUAAAGUAAACAUCAUGAUCCUCAGAAUAAGGACCCUGUGAAGUAAGCAUACACGAAUGAGAAGAUCAAAUGCAGUAUUUGGUAGAUAGUUUUAACUGGUGUGCUGUUCCAUGUUCCCUUGGUGGUUAUGAAACAGAGGCACUACAUCCUGGGAUUCGGAACAAAUGCCAGGCAGAAUUCUAGCUUUGUUAAAUAACACACAUUAGUCUCUGUUUUCACCAAUUCCAUUCUAUUAUGACGUGCUAAGACAGUAAAGGAAAGAUAUCUUGACUUCUUUUACUUACAUGGGGUAUGUGAAAACAAGAAAAUGUGUUGUCUCUGGUUCUGUCAUCUAAGACUGGUGAAAUUUUCAUGCUGAGAGCCCUACAGUUUCAAGCAUGCUC